GUUGCUAAUGUGACGAUUGUCACGUAAACCGCAUCCGACGGUGGUGACGAUCCGAUGAAACGGCAAC
rfam:Trichuris muris Edinburgh genomic scaffold, scaffold71